CCUACGGGAGGCAGCAGUGAGGAAUAUUGGUCAAUGGACGAGAGUCUGAACCAGCCAAGUAGCGUGAAGGAUGACUGCCCUAUGGGUUGUAAACUUCUUUUAUAUGGGAAUAAAACGUUCCACGUGUGGGAUUUUGUAUGUACCAUAUGAAUAAGGAUCGGCUAACUCCGUGCCAGCAGCCGCGGUAAUACGGAGGAUCCGAGCGUUAUCCGGAUUUAUUGGGUUUAAAGGGAGCGUAGGUGGAUUGUUAAGUCAGUUGUGAAAGUUGGGGGCUCAACCGUAAAAUUGCAGUUGAAACUGGCAGUCUUGAGUACAGUAGAGGUGGGCGGAAUUCGUGGUGUAGCGGUGAAAUGCUUAGAUAUCACGAAGAACUCCGAUUGCGAAGGCAGUUCACUGGACUGCAACUGACACUGAGGCUCGAAAGUGUGGGUAUCAAACAGGAUUAGAUACCCUGGUAGUC
rnacentral:rRNA from 1 species